AGAGUUUGAUCCUGGCUCAGGAUGAACGCUAGCGAGAGGCCUAACACAUGCAAGUCGAGGGGUAACAGGGGAGCUUGCUCCCGCUGACGACCGGCGCACGGGUGAGUAACGCGUAUGCAACCUGCCCGCCACAGGGGGAUAGCCUUCCGAAAGGGAGAUUAAUACCGCAUAAGACCACGUCUGGGCAUCCAGGAGGGGUAAAAUAUUUAUAGGUGGCGGCUGGGCAUGCGUGACAUUAGCUAGACGGCGGGGUAACGGCCCACCGUGGCGACGAUGUCUAGGGGUUCUGAGAGGAAGGUCCCCCACACUGGAACUGAGACACGGUCCAGACUCCUACGGGAGGCAGCAGUGAGGAAUAUUGGUCAAUGGUCAGACGACUGAACCAGCCAUGCCGCGUGAAGGUCACGGCCCUAUGGGUCUUAAACUUCUUUUGCGAGGGAGCAAUAAGGCGUACGUGUACGUCGAUGAGAGUACCUCGCGAAUAAGCAUCGGCUAACUCCGUGCCAGCAGCCGCGGUAAUACGGGGGAUGCGAGCGUUAUCCGGAUUUAUUGGGUUUAAAGGGUGCGUAGGCGGUUUAUUAAGUCAGCGGUGAAAUUUAGGGGCUCAACCUCUACCGUGCCGUUGAUACUGGUAGGCUUGAAUGCGGAUGCCGUGGGAGGAAUGUGUGGUGUAGCGGUGAAAUGCAUAGAUAUCACACAGAACACCGAUUGCGAAGGCAUCUCACGAAUCCGCGAUUGACGCUGUUGCACGAAAGCGUGGGGAUCAAACAGGAUUAGAUACCCUGGUAGUCCACGCUGUAAACGAUGAUGACUAACCGUCGGCGAUACACAGUCGGUGGCCAAGCGAAAGCGAUAAGUCAUCACCCUGGGGAGUACGACCGCAAGGUUGAAACUCAAAGGGAUUUGACGGGGGGCCGCACAAGCGGAGAACAUGUGGGUUUAAUUCGAUGAUACCCGAGGAACCUUACCCGGG
rnacentral:rRNA from 1 species